rnacentral:rRNA from 1 species
UACGAAGGGGGCUAGCGUUGCUCGGAAUCACUGGGCGUAAAGGGCGCGUAGGCGGCCAUUCAAGUCGGGGGGUGAAAGCCUGUGGCUCAACCACAGAAUUGCCUUCGAUACUGUUUGGCUUGAGACCGGAAGAGGUCAGUGGAACUGCGAGUGUAGAGGUGAAAUUCGUAGAUAUUCGCAAGAACACCAGUGGCGAAGGCGGCUGACUGGUCCGGGUUCUGACGCUGAGGCGGCGAAAGCGUGGGGAGCAAACAGG